rnacentral:rRNA from 1 species
UACAGAGGUGGCAAGCGUUGUUCGGAAUUACUGGGCGUAAAGGGCGCGUAGGCGGCCAUCUAAGUCAGACGUGAAAUCCCCCGGCUUAACCUGGGAACUGCGUCUGAUACUGGACGGCUCGAGUAUGGGAGAGGGAUGUAGAAUUCCAGGUGUAGCGGUGAAAUGCGUAGAUAUCUGGAGGAACACCGGUGGCGAAGGCGGCGUUCUGGACUGCAACUGACACUGAGGAACGAAAGCCAGGGGAGCAAACGGG